GACGAACGCUGGCGGCGUGCUUAACACAUGCAAGUCGAGCGGAAAGGCCCUUCGGGGUACUCGAGCGGCGAACGGGUGAGUAACACGUGAGCAACCUGCCCUGGACUUUGGGAUAACCCUCGGAAACGGGGGCUAAUACCGGAUACGACUACUGGCCGCAUGGUUGGUGGUGGAAAGUUUUUCGGUCUGGGAUGGGCUCGCGGCCUAUCAGCUUGUUGGUGGGGUGAUGGCCUACCAAGGCGACGACGGGUAGCCGGCCUGAGAGGGCGACCGGCCACACUGGGACUGAGACACGGCCCAGACUCCUACGGGAGGCAGCAGUGGGGAAGUAUUGCACAAUGGGCGCAAGCCUGAUGCAGCGACGCCGCGUGGGGGAUGACGGCCU
rnacentral:rRNA from 1 species